rnacentral:rRNA from 1 species
GACGUAGGGCGCGAGCGUUGUCCGGAUUUAUUGGGCGUAAAGAGCUCGUAGGCGGCUUGUUGCGUCGACCGUGAAAACCCGGGGCUCAACUUCGGGCCUGCAGUGGGUACGGGCAGACUAGAGUGCGGUAGGGGAGAUUGGAAUUCCUGGUGUAGCGGUGGAAUGCGCAGAUAUCAGGAGGAACACCAGUGGCGAAGGCAGAUCUCUGGGCCGUAACUGACGCUGAGGAGCGAAAGCAUGGGGAGCGAACAGG